UGUGGUUAUCACGCGUCGCUCUGUUAUCACGUUCGCGGACAUGUGCCGCCACCGCCACCGCCGCCGCUGCCUACGCCGCAGGACCACAGGGGCCAGAACUCGUCGUUGGACAUUUUCUUGCGACUUUUCCACAUCCCCGCACGCCCACCAAAGGGGUCGGGGCGGCGCGCACGUCGCACGCACAGACACUCCGCGCGCUCGUGUGACGGUGCUCUUACCCUUUGCACGCCGCCGCCACCGACGCGCCGCUACGAGUACGCGUUAUUAUACGCUAUUCGCGCGCGCACCGCGUACGGUCUUCGACGCGCCCCGUCGUGGCGUAGGUAUUGUCAUUUUCCCGCCGCCCUCUUUUCGUCCACCACCGCGCCGUCUCGGCGCCGUUCCGGGACCGUUCCUAUUGAACUGCUGCCGCGAUGCCGCCGCUGUAUUGCAUCAGCCGCCGCUGGCGUGGUCGGCGUGGACAUGAAAAUGCCGAAAUUCAGAAGCGUGUGACACCCUUUCGACGACAACCAUUGGCAGU